UGGAGUCCUCCCUCAUUGUGACCUCAUGAACAGCUGCCCACACAGCUGACCUUUAGCCCUCAGCCCUCCAGAACUGGAGCAUAUGCAGCAUGCCCCAAAGCCCCCAUCACAAAGCACAUUGCUAAGCUGUCCAGUGGCCAAAGCCCCAGCAUACUUUUUGAAGACCUCUAUGUCUCUCUGAAUUUCUAUCAAGAAAUCCAUCUAUUUAAGCAGGAAUCUUCUAAGAACGCUUUCUGUUAACCAUACGAAUGGUGCAGGAAUCUGGUGUUUUUGGAUGCAGAAUGUGCUGUGGAAGACUCCAAAGACACCUGGAGGACAGCACUGUAUGCAUACUCCAGUCCAAAGCUUCCAUGAAAGCUCCCUUGUCAGCAAGGAAUGCAGCAAGUCUCUAGGAGACGAGGAAAUGAGCAAGCAAAGCCUUGGAGUCCGACACUCCAAUGGAUCUCAUAUCAGUUAAUCAGGAAAGAAGAAAAAAAGGCCCUAAAGACUUGAACCUGGGAUCCUGGGUAAGAGGCCCAGGAGGUAUGGAAUAAUAAAUCUGAUUUUAUCCUACGUAUGGCA
rnacentral:lncRNA from 13 species